CUGCUGGCCCGGCGCGCUCUGCGGCCUACGUGGGACGGCGGCGCGUAGGCCGCGCGCGCGCGCAUGGCCGGCCGCGCGGACCCAUUGUGUGCUGGCCCGGAGGCUGCGCCCCGCCCUCCGGUGCGCGCCGGUGCCCCCCACACCCCCGGGAGCCUCCGGCAGCGGCUGCCCCUCCGCGUCCGCCGGCGCGGGUGCUGUCCCCGGCCCGCUGCGCUUUCGCACCUCUUCCGGUGUACUAGUUACAGAAGGCUUUCGCUGUAGGACCGUAUGUCGUGUGACAGUGGCACCAGGCUCACACACCUUGAGCUUUGUGUGGAUGUCCUGAGAUGUUGGCAGAGUGAAGUGGCCGUUGGACGCAUUCUGUCAUUAGGCUACAUGUGACUGUUGUGUGACCUCAAAGUUACAGAAAGAGAGGCAGAGAGAGAGAGAAGUCUUCCAUCUACUGGUUCACUCCUUCAAAUGGCCACAACAGCGGAGCUGGGCUGAACUGAAGCCAGGAACCAGGAGCUUCUUCUAGGUCUCCCAUGUGGGUGGAGGGGUCCAAGGGCUUGGGCCAUCUUCUGUUGCUUUCCCGGGCCAUAGCAGAGAGCUGAGUCGGAAGUGGAGGAACCGGGACUCAAACAGGUUCCCAUAUGGGAUUCUGGCACUGCAGGCAGCGGCUUUACCUGCUACACCACAGUGCCGGUCCCAAUGAAAAAACGAUAUUUUUAAAAAAACAAUAUUUUCUUCUUCUACUAACCUGCUUGCAGCUCCCACAUUCUCCCCUCCCCUAUGAUUUUUUUUUAAAUGUUUGUGUAUUUCUUUGAAAGAGUGACCCAGAGCAAAACAGAGAUCCUCCAUUCACUGGCUCAUUCCCCACAUGCCUGAAACAGCUGGGGCUAGACCAGGAGAAGGCAAGAGCCAGGAACUCCAUCUGGCUCUCCCGUGUGAGUGGCAGGGGCUUGAGUACUUAAUGACAGUUCAAGUCCCAGCCGCUCCUCUUCCGAUCCAGCUCUCUGCUACGGCCUGGGAGAGCAGUAGAAGAUGGCCCAAGUUCUUGGGCCCCUGCACCCAUGUGAGAGACCCUGGAGAAGCUCCUGGCUCCUGGCUUCAGAUCGGCGCAGCUCCGGCCGUUGGGGAGUGAACCAGCAGAUGCAAGACCCCUCUCUCUCUGCCUCUCCUCUCUCUGUGUUACUCUGACUUUCAAAUAAAUAAAUAAUUUAAAAAAAUAAAAUUAUUUAAUUUUCAUGAGUUUUCAUUUACGUUUCAGAAGCCACGUGUGGGCAGCCAGCGUCCACACUGGACAGCAUCACCUGUGGCCUCGGCAGGCGUGGGCACCUACGUUCCAGCCCAGCCCUUGCUGGGAAGUCCGUGGUCUGGGUGGCGGUUAGGUUGUUAGCACGUGGGUUGGCCCGGGUGCCACUAGACCCACAAUGCUGGACAGCUGGCCGGCUGGCACCAAGGCUGGGCCACAGGGAGAGCCCCAGGGCUCUGCAUUCAUUGAUUGGGGGCACAGGGCACCCAGUUGAGAAGGAUCAGGGACACUUGGAGUGAUGGGACCCCAGAGGGCGUUUCAGCCUUAAGAAAGGCAGAGACAGACAGAUGGACAGAGGCUCCAUCCACUGGUUCACUCCCCGAACGCCUCAAGUGGCCAGGUCGAAGCCAGGAGCUGGGAACUUGAUCCAGGCCUCCCAGGCAGGGGGCAGGGAUCUGAGGGUUUGAGCCAUCAUCAUCAUCCCUCCCACAGUGCGCAUGUGCAGGAAACUGGACCUGGGAGCAUAGCCGGGACUCUGCUAUGGAAUGAGAGUAUCCUUACUGGCUUCUUAGCUUCUGUCUCACAAAGUCUAUUUGUAACGCAAGCUCUGUGCACCCUGUGCAGGAUUCCAAAGUCAUGCGUGGGUUUAUGGGAAAAUGCCGGUUACCUCCACAUGCUGGGCCCCAGGCCACCACAUCCCUCUUGCCAAGGGCGGUGACCACCACUGGUGUCUGGAAGGCCACGUGAUUCCUGCAGUUGUUCCCUGCGGGGGGGGG